CAGGAAAUAGUUUAGUGAAGAAUGCCGGCUUUGGGUGUCGGUGGCGGGGGUUAAAAUCUCUCUUUUCUGG
rnacentral:tRNA from 1 species